UGCCCUUUGCCAUGUCAUGCUUCAUUAAACCGGACAUGCAUCAUACUUGGUUGUGCAUCAUGUCAUGCUUAUGUGGUGGUUGUUUACUAUGUUGUUUGCUCCUUUCCGGUGUUGCUUCUUCGGGUUGGUUCCGAUAACGUCGUGUUGUGAGGAUUCGUUUGUCUACGUCCGCUUUGUCUUCUUCAUGGACUCGUUCUUCUUCCUUGCGGGAUCUCAGGCAAGAUGACCAUACUCUCGAAAUCACUUCUAUCUUUGCUUGCUAGUUGCUCGCUCUAUUGCUAUGCCUAUGCUGCGAUACCUACCACUUGUUUAUCAUGCCUCCCAUAUUGUUGAACCAAGCCUCUAACCCACCUUGUCCUAGCAAACUGUUGUUUGGCUAUGUUACCACUUUGCUCAGCCCCUCUUAUAGCGUUGUUAGUUGUAGGUAAAGAUUGGAGCUUGUUCCAUGUUUGGAACAUGUUUACUUGUUGGGAUAUCACAAUAUCUCUUAUUUAAUUAAUGCAUCUAUAUACUUGGUAAAGGGUGGAAGGCUCGGCCUUAUGCCUGGUGUUUUGUUCCACUCUUGCCACCCUAGUUUCCGUCAUAUCGGUGUUAUGUUCUCGGAUUUUGCGUUCCUUACGCGGUUGGGUAUAAUGGGAACCCCUGGACAGUUCGCCUUGAAUAAAACUCCUCCAGCAAGGCCCAACAUUGGUUUUACCAUUUGCCACCUAGCCUUUUUUCCCUUGGGUUAGGCCAGCCCAAGGGUCAUCUUUAUUUUACACCCCCCGGGCCAGUGCUCCUCUGAGUGUUGGUCCAAACUGAGCGAUGUUCGGAGCUACCAGGGGCAACUCUGGGCUGGCCCACCCAACGUCUGGCUCAUCUGGUGUGCCCUAAGAACGAGAUAUGUGCAGCUCCUAUCGGGAUUUGUCAGCACAUCUAGGUGGCUUUGCUGGUCUUGUUGUACCAUUGCCGAAAUGUCUUGUAACCGGGAUUCCAAGCCUAAUCGGGUCUUCCCGCUAGAAGGAAUAUCCUUCGUUGACCGUGAGAGCUUGUGAUGGGCUAAGUUGGGACACCCCUGCAGGAUUUGAACUUUCGAAAGCCGCGCCCGUGGUUAUGGGCAUAUGGGAAUUUGUUAAUGUCCGGUUGUAGAAAACCUAAAGUUGACCUUAAUUAAAAUGCAUCAACCGCAUGUGUAACCGUGAUGGUCUCUUUCCGGCGGAGUCCGGGAAGUGAACACGGUGUUGGAGUUAUGCUUGACGUAGGUUGUUCUAGGAUCACUUCUUGAUCAUAGUUGUUCGACCAUGCUUUUGCCUUCUCUUCUCGCUCUCUUUUGCGAAUAGGUUAGCCACCAUAUAUGCUAGUCGCUUGCUGCAGCUCCACCUCAUACCUUUUACCCUUCCUAUAAGCUUAAAUAGUCUUGAUCGCGAGGGUGUGAGAUUGUUGAGUCCCCGUGACUCACAGAUACUUCCAAAACCAGUUUGCAGGUGCCGAUGAUACCGUGCAGGUGACGCAACCAAGCUCAAGGAGGAGCUCGAUGAAGAUCUUGUCCUUGGUGUUGUUUCGUUCUAGUUGAUCAGUAGUGGAGCCCAGUCGGG
rnacentral:lncRNA from 1 species